GUGGACAAAAAUCAUACCAACUGUGUGGUCCACGAUACAGAGAAGUGAAGCCGAGCGGAAGGAGUGCCCGGGUGGCUGCAGGGUUCUUCAAGGACACCCGAGAUGGACACUGUAACACCCAAGACCACAGAGCUGAGGACAAACGCUGUCAACGGGGAAGCAGCUACUGAAACGGGACCAAAAUAAAGAGGUAAACUAGAGUAAUAAAAAUACACACUUAAUGCACACCAGGCAGAAGAGGAAAAGAGAAAUGAGGUCAAAUGAGCUGAACAGAACAGAGUGGGAGAAGUAAAUCCAACACAAGUAUAUCCACGUUAAAUUUCAAAAUGGCCUCAAGAUAGCAAUAAAAAGCAGACAUGGCCAGAGUCCACGAAAAACAAGAGCAGAGCAUUUGAAUUCUGAAAGAAAUCUGUUAUGGUCAUAAUGUCCCAGUCUCAG
rnacentral:lncRNA from 1 species